ACUCCUCAAGGCCAUAUGCUUCUUGUCCUGAAAACACAACUCAAACAUAAGCACUAACCACUAGGACAAGGCCUAGGGUCAAAGGGAGAGAAAUAAUUCAAAACAGAACAUGAAAAUUGGCAAUAAUCAAGUUCAAUCAAAUUAGAACAACAUCCAAUUGGUCCCAUAUCCAUAACAUCAACCAAUUUCAUUUCACAAAGCAUCUAAGGCAAAGCAUGCAAGUUCAAAGCUCAUUGAAGCAAACAGAAAGAACCAAUCCAAAUCAACUCA
rnacentral:lncRNA from 1 species